rnacentral:rRNA from 1 species
CAGGCCUAACACAUGCAAGUCGAACGCUAUAUUUAUAUAGAGUGGCGCACGGGUGAGUAACACGUGGGAAUCUGCCCUUCUGCCUGGGAUAACAGUUGGAAACGACUGCUAAUACCGGAUACGCCCUUCGGGGGAAAGGUCCGCCGCAGAAGGAGGAGCCCGCGCUCGAUUAGCUAGUUGGUGAGGUAAUGGCUCACCAAGGCAACGAUCGAUAGCUGGUCUGAGAGGAUGAUCAGCCACACUGGGACUGAGACACGGCCCAGACUCCUACGGGAGGCAGCAGUGGGGAAUAUUGGACAAUGGGGGCAACCCUGAUCCAGCAAUGCCGCGUGUGUGAUGAAAGCCUUAGGGUUGUAAAGCACUUUCACUGGUGAAGAUGAUGACGGUAACCAGAGAAGAAGCCCCGGCUAACUUCGUGCCAGCAGCCGCGGUAAUACGAAGGGGGCGAGCGUUGUUCGGAAUUACUGGGCGUAAAGGGAGCGCAGGCGGUUCAUUAAGUUAGGCGUGAAAGCCCCGGGCUCAACCUGGGAACUGCGCUUAAUACUGGUGAGCUAGAAAACAGGAGAGGGUAGUGGAAUUUCCAGUGUAGAGGUGAAAUUCGUAGAUAUUGGAAAGAACACCGGUGGCGAAAGCGGCUACCUGGCCUGAU